UACAAGUCGAGCAGGGUCGAAAGACGGACUUAGUGAUCCGGUGGUUCCGCAUGGAAGGGCCAUCGCUCAACGGAUAAAAGCUACCCCGGGGAUAACAGGCUUAUCUCCCCCAAGAGUUCACAUCGACGGGGAGGUUUGGCACCUCGAUGUCGGCUCAUCGCAUCCUGGGGCUGUAGUCGGUCCCAAGGGUUGGGCUGUUCGCCCAUUAAAGCGGUACGCGAGCUGGGUUCAGAACGUCGUGAGACAGUUCGGUCCCUAUCCGUCGUGGGCGUAGGAAAUUUGAGAGGAGCUGUCCUUAGUACGAGAGGACCGGGAUGGACAUACCUCUGGUGUACCAGUUGUCGUGCCAACGGCAUAGCUGGGUAGCUAUGUAUGGACGGGAUAAGUGCUGAAAGCAUCUAAGCAUGAAGCCCCCCUCAAGAUGAGAUUUCCCAACUUCGGUUAUAAGAUCCCUCGAAGAUGACGAGGUUAAUAGGUUCGAGGUGGAAGCGUGGUGACACGUGGAGCUGACGAAUACUAAUCGAUCGAAGACUUAAUCAA
rnacentral:rRNA from 1 species